GAUGAACGCUGGCGGCGUGCCUAAUACAUGCAAGUCGAGCGAACAGAUUAUGAGCUUGCUCCUCUGACGUUAGCGUCGGACGUGUGAGUAACACGUGGAUAACCUACCUAUAAGACUGGGAUAACUUCGGGAAACCGGAGCUAAUACCGGAUAAUAUAUUGAACCGCAUGGUUCAAUAGUGAAAGACGGUUUUGCUGUCACUUAUAGAUGGAUCCGCGCCGCAUUAGCUAGUUGGUAAGGUAACGGCUUACCAAGGCAACGAUGCGUAGCCGACCUGAGAGGGUGAUCGGCCACAAUGGAACUGAGACACGGUCAAGACUCCAACGGGAGGAAGCAGAAGGGAAUCGUCAGCAAUGGGAGAAAGCCUGACGGAGAAACGCCGCGUGAGUGAUGAAGGUAUUAGGAUCGUAAAACUCUGUUAUUAGGGAAGAACAAAUGUGUAAGUAACUAUGCACGUCUUGACGGUACCUAAUCAGAAAGCCACGGCUAACUACGUG
rnacentral:rRNA from 1 species